rnacentral:rRNA from 1 species
UACGUAGGGGGCAAGCGUUGUCCGGAUUUAUUGGGCGUAAAGAGCGUGUAGGCGGCCAAGCAGGUCCGCUGUGAAAACUCGAGGCUCAACCUCGAGACGUCGGUGGAAACCGUUUGGCUAGAGUCCGGAAGAGGAGAGUGGAAUUCCCGGUGUAGCGGUGAAAUGCGCAGAUAUCGGGAGGAACACCGGCGGCGAAGGCGGCACUCUGGGCCGGUACUGACGCUGAGGAGCGAAAGCGUGGGUAGCAAACAGGG